rnacentral:rRNA from 1 species
AUUGAACGCUGGCGGCAGGCCUAACACAUGCAAGUCGAACGGUAACAGGAAGAAGCUUGCUUCUUUGCUGACGAGUGGCGGACGGGUGAGUAAUGUCUGGGAAACUGCCUGAUGGAGGGGGAUAACUACUGGAAACGGUAGCUAAUACCGCAUAACGUCGCAAGACCAAAGAGGGGGACCUUCGGGCCUCUUGCCAUCGUACGGGACCAGAUGGGAUUAGUUGGUUGGUGGGGUAACGGCUCACCAAGGCGACGAGCCGUAGCUGGUCUGAGAGGAUGACCAGCCACACUGGAACUGAGACACGGUCCAGACUCCUACGGGAGGCAGCAGUGGGGAAUAUUGCACAAUGGGCGCAAGCCUGAUGCAGCCAUGCCGCGUGUAUGAAGAAGGCCUUCGGGUUGUAAAGUACUUUCAGCGGGGAGGAAGGGAGUAAAGUUAAUACCUUCGCUCAUUGACGUUACCCGCAGAAGAAGCACCGGCUAACUCCGUGCCAGCCGCCGCAGUAA